rnacentral:lncRNA from 1 species
CGGCGGUGCGCGGCGGUGUCCAGCGAGCCAUCCUCACCCAGCUCCGGCCGGCUGAGCUCAGGCGCUUCCUGCGGACAGUGCAGCUCAGGGUGCGGCUGGGACUGCCAGGGGCCGGCAAGACCCGCAGCUGCUGGACACAGGCCACAGAGCUGGUGCCUCCCGCGCCAUCACUGCAGUGCAGCCUGGGUGGACGGAGGAAGCCAAGGGGAACGGCCUGGGCUCAGAGUAAGGAGACCUUGCCCCGGGGGACAAACGGUGUCUGAAGUGCAGGGGUGAAGCGGUCUCCAGUCCUCAGGGGCCUGGAAAUCAGCUCCUUGGGACACGGUCUUAUGUGUAUUGACCAUUCUCCCCAUCCAUUCCCUCUUCGGAAUGUUUCAGCUGUUCUGAGAAAACACUUUGCAUUCCUGCCCCGCCCCUGUGAUUUCUCUUUGGGCGGCAGGCAGCCGGGAGAGGCUGGAGGCCUGGGGAGAUGGGGGCAGGGCACAAGGCUAAGCUCAGCACCUUCCUCCACCCUCCUCACUGUACUCAACUCCUAGGCGGGCACUAAGAGCAGCUGCCUUCCUGGACCCACCUUAACCUCUUGUGACUCAACUCCCCUUUCCAGGGUGCAGGGAACAUUCCCUCUGCCCUGCCUUCCAGCUCUGGCCACAGUGGCCUGGACAGAGUAGCUGGGUCCCAGGCCUGCCCCUGUGGACGAGGGACCAGGGACCAAGAGCGCACUCCAGCCCUGAGCCCAGAGCCUGCAAAGCCCAAAGCAAGGCCCAUAAACGGAGGCUACGGCCUUUAAGAAGUGGCACCAACGCCUGGCAGCCAGGAGCCCAAGGAGAGGAGCUGCCAGUAGCCCAAGACCCUGGAGCAAGCCAGGCCCCAAGGGCCCCGAGAGUGGACAGGAAGCCGCCAGAGCACCGCGGGGUUGGGGGCUUGGGGCAGAGCAUGGGGCCCAGCUGCAGCUGUGACUUGUUCUCAUAGAAUAAAAAACAGAACUGAACUUAGCCUUCCCAGGGAAGGAACCAUGCCCCACACAUCCAGGGAGUGAUGACAGAGGGGACAGCUUGAAGAGCUCUGAAGGACAAUAAAAC